rnacentral:rRNA from 1 species
CUGUGGGUCGUAAACCUCUUUUCUCAGGGAAGAAGAUCUGACGGUACCUGAGGAAUCAGCAUCGGCUAACUCCGUGCCAGCAGCCGCGGUAAGACGGAGGAUGCAAGCGUUAUCCGGAAUUAUUGGGCGUAAAGCGUCCGUAGGUGGUUGUACAAGUCAGUUGUUAAAGCCCACAGCUCAACUGUGGAUCGGCAAUUGAAACUGUAUGACUUGAGUGUGGUAGGGGUAGAGGGAAUUCCUAGUGUAGCGGUGAAAUGCGUAGAUAUUAGGAAGAACACCAGUGGCGAAGGCGCUCUACUGGGCCAUAACUGACACUGAUGGACGAAAGCUAGGGGAGCGAAAGGGAUUAGAUACCCCUGUAGUCCUAGCUGUAAACGAUGAACACUAGGUGUUGCGCGUAUCGACCCGUGCAGUAUCGAAGCAAACGCGUUAAGUGUUCCGCCUGGGGAGUACGCACGCAAGUGUGAAACUCAAAGGAAUUGACGGGGGCCCGCACAAGCGGUGGAGUAUGUGGUUUAAUUCGAUGCAACGCGAAGAACCUUACCAGGGAUUGACAUCCUACGAACCUUCCUGAAAGGGAAGGGUGCCUUCGGGAACGUAGAGACAGGUGGUGCAUGGCUGUCGUCAGCUCGUGUCGUGAG